UCGACGAAACAGGGGUGCUUCGCACGCGUUCAGGCAGGACGACGCGGCGAGGCUGAGAGAAACCCUUUGCACCCGAUCCGGGUAAUACCGGCGAGGGAAGUUUCCGGAAAACGGUC
rnacentral:ncRNA from 2 species